rnacentral:rRNA from 1 species
UUAGAGGAAGUAAAAGUCGUAACAAGGUUUCCGUAGGUGAACCUGCGGAAGGAUCAUUAACGAUUGCUUCACGCAAAACACGUAUUGGUAAAUGGUUAUAGAGCUACAACUCCUGACGAGCUCAGGAAGUGUGGGUCGUCACAUCGUGGUCGUCACGUGUAUGCACUGCGAACGAUGUAAAACAAACAAACUAUGGCCUCUCAUAUUGCAUAAAAUCUUUCGCCACGGCAUACAGGCCUGGCAUCUGGUACGAGACUCUCGUAGUCUCAAAACCAACCUUACAACUCUGAGCGGUGGAUCACUUGGCUUGUGGAUGCUAUGAAGACCAUAGCUAAGUGUGAGAAUGGCAGCGAGCCGUCGCUAUAUGCGCUGUCCUCUUCUUAUCACAUGUCGAAUGCACAUUGCGCCCCACCCAGCGGUCAACCUCCUGCAGACAAAAGCCUGUUUGGAGCAAAGGAUGUGUGGCCCUCGAGCAACGGCGGGGGAGCCAGGAGCACAUUGGCGUGCGUUCCAGCCACUCGUGAGUAGUCAGGCUGAACCCCAUGGUGGGGCACUCCUAGUCGAGUGUGGUGGAUCGGGAUCAACUCCCUCUGCGCUUUAAGGCGAGGGUUUGAAUUUGCUUCUAAUGGAUUUUGGUCGACAUCAGUCGUGCCAACCUGCCUUGGCUCGUGCCUCUGUGCGUUUAACUUACAUAUCGAAGGCCAACGCUGGCGAUCACUCUUGCGGCCAGGGCGCUGUUUCGGCGGCAGCGCGCAGAGGUCCACCGAAUGGUCACACGAGAGUCGGGUCUCUGUUUCUCUUCUUGCCGCACAGAGAGUGGUCGAUACGUCAGCUCGCACGCUAAUGGCUAAGGCGUCCUAUUCGAGAAGAGCCCUACAUCUUUUACACACACGGUUAUGACACGCACGAGAUCAGGACGGAUAUCGUGUGGAGUAAAAGUAACGGAUUAGCGGUAUCGCACCACUCCCUUCACUGUGGCUUGGAAUGAGUGAGGCCUGCCGUCUCGUGCCACCACCUCGACUUAGGAGAGGAUACCCGCUGAACUUAAGCAUAUCAGUAAGCGGAGGAAAAGAAACCAAUCAGGGAUUCCCUUAGUAGGGGCGACCGAAAAGGGAUGAGCCCAGCGCAGAACCUCCCGGGCCACCCGGCCUGCGGCGGAAUGUUGCGUUAAGGGAAAGGUCGUAGUCAAACCCCACAGCCACGCGAGCACUAAGUAAGUCACGAAUUGGCUAUCCUAACUAACGGAAGGAGCAUCUCCAUGGAGGGUGUCAGACCCGUGUGGGCGCGUGUAAAUGCUGUGUGGGCUCGGCCUCUUUUCCCUGAGAGUCGCGUUGCUUGAGCAUGCAGCGCUAAGCAGGUCGUAAACUCGAUCUAAGGCUAAAUAUGUCCACAAGACCGAUAGUGAACAAGUACCGUGAGGGAAAGUGAAAAGCACUCUGAAGAGAGA